GACGAACGCUGGCGGCGUGCUUAACACAUGCAAGUCGAACGGAAAGGCCCUGCUUUUGUGGGGUGCUCGAGUGGCGAACGGGUGAGUAACACGUGAGUAACCUGCCCUUGACUUUGGGAUAACUUCAGGAAACUGGGGCUAAUACCAGAUAGGAGCUCCUGCUGCAUGGUGGGGGUUGGAAAGUUUCGGCGGUUGGGGAUGGACUCGCGGCUUAUCAGCUUGUUGGCGGGGUAGUGGCUUACCAAGGCUUUGACGGGUAGCCGGCCUGAGAGGGUGACCGGCCACAUUGGGACUGAGAUACGGCCCAGACUCCUACGGGAGGCAGCAGUGGGGAAUAUUGCACAAUGGGCGGAAGCCUGAUGCAGCAACGCCGCGUGCGGGAUGACGGCCUUCGGGUUGUAAACCGCUUUCGCCUGUGACGAAGCGUGAGUGACGGUAAUGGGUAAAGAAGCACCGGCUAACUACGUG
rnacentral:rRNA from 1 species